AGUGAACGCUGGCGGUAGGCCUAACACAUGCAAGUCGAACGGCAGCACAGUAAGAGCUUGCUCUUACGGGUGGCGAGUGGCGGACGGGUGAGGAAUACAUCGGAAUCUACUUUUUCGUGGGGGAUAACGUAGGGAAACUUACGCUAAUACCGCAUACGACCUACGGGUGAAAGCAGGGGAUCUUCGGACCUUGCGCGAUUGAAUGAGCCGAUGUCGGAUUAGCUAGUUGGCGGGGUAAAGGCCCACCAAGGCGACGAUCCGUAGCUGGUCUGAGGGGAUGAUCAGCCACACUGGAACUGAGACACGGUCCAGACUCCUACGGGAGGCAGCAGUGGGGAAUAUUGGACAAUGGGCGCAAGCCUGAUCCAGCCAGACCGCGUGGGUGAAGAAGGCCUUCGGGUUGCAAAGCCCUUUUGUUGGGAAAGAAAAGCAGCAGGUUAAUACCCCGCUGUUCUGACGGUACCCAAAGAAUAAGCACCGGCUAACUUCGUG
rnacentral:rRNA from 1 species